AGAGUUUGAUCCUGGCUCAGGAUGAACGCUGGCGGCGUGCUUAACACAUGCAAGUCGAACGAAGCACUCUUUUAGAUUUCCUUCGGGGAAGAAGAAAUUGUGACUGAGUGGCGGACGGGUGAGUAACGCGUGGGCAACCUGCCCCAUACAGGGGGAUAACAGCCGGAAACGGCUGCUAAAACCGCAUAAGCGCACAAGGGCCGCAUGGCCUGGUGUGAAAAACUCCGGUGGUAUGGGAUGGGCCCGCGUCUGAUUAGCUAGUUGGCGGGGGAGAGGCCCACCAAGGCGACGAUCAGUAGCCGACCUGAGAGGGUGGCCGGCCACAUUGGGACUGAGACACGGCCCAAACUCCUACGGGAGGCAGCAGUGGGGAAUAUUGCACAAUGGGGGAAACCCUGAUGCAGCGACGCCGCGUGAGCGAAGAGGUAUUUCGGUAUGUAAAGCUCUAUCAGCAGGGAAGAAAAAUGACGGUACCUGAGUAAGAAGCACCGGCUAAAUACGUG
rnacentral:rRNA from 1 species